rnacentral:rRNA from 1 species
CCUACGGGAGGCAGCAGUGAGGAAUAUUGGUCAAUGGGCGCGAGCCUGAACCAGCCAAGUAGCGUGAAGGAUGACUGCCCUACGGGUUGUAAACUUCUUUUAUAAAGGAAUAAAGUGAGGCACGUGUGCCUUUUUGUAUGUACUUUAUGAAUAAGGAUCGGCUAACUCCGUGCCAGCAGCCGCGGUAAUACGGAGGAUCCGUGCGUUAUCCGGAGUUAUUGGGUUUAAAGGGAGCGUAGAUGGGUUGAUAAGUCAGUUGUGAAAGUUUGCGGCUCAACCGUAAAAUUGCAAUUGAUACUGGCAGCCUUGAGUACAGUUGAGGGAGGCGGAAUUCGUGGUGUAGCGGUGAAAUGCUUAGAUAUCACGAAGAACUCCGAUGGCGAAGGCAGCUUACUAAACUGCAACUGACAUUGAUGCUCGAAAGUGUGGGUAUCAAACAGGAUUAGAUACCCGGGUAGUC